AACGAACGCUGGCGGCAUGCCUAACACAUGCAAGUCGAGCGCCUGUAGCAAUACAGGAUCGGCGCACGGGCGAGUAACGCGUGGGAACAUGCCCUUAGGUUCGGAACCACCGCGGGAAACUGCGGUCGAGAACCGAUGAUGUAUCCGGACCAAAGAUUUAGCGCCUUUGGCGGGGCCCGCGUGGGUUUAGGAAGUUGGGAGGGUAACGGCUAACCAAGCCUGCGAUCCGUAGCUGGUCUGAGAGGAUGACCAGCCACACUGGGACUGAGACACGGCCCAGACUCUUACGGGAGGCAGCGGUGGGGAGUAUUGGACAAUGGGGGCAACCCUGAUCCAGCAAUGCCGCGUGGGUGAUGAAGGCCUUCGGGUUGUAAAGCCCUUUCGGCGGGGACGAUGAUGACGGUACCCGCAGAAGAAGCCCCGGCUAACUUCGUGCCAGCCGCCGCCGUAA
rnacentral:rRNA from 1 species